AAUCCCUGCGAACAUCCAUAAAGGAAACAGUGAGAGCACAGAAACAAGAGCCUGUUUUAUCGAUCCGCGUGUGACCGACGACCGUUUCCAUCGGAUUCUUUAAGAAGACAAACAUCAGCUGGGAAACAUUUUUGUGUGACCGCCAGUAUUUUCUCGUGAUGACGUUCGGGAGGCUCUGAGAGGUUUUUCACCACGAUGUCUUACCCUUCUGGAGUUUGGACACCAAAUCUACGUAAAGGUCAUCGUUGCUGGAGGACGCGGCCUCGCUCUGCUGGCCGAGGACACGGAUCACGUGAUCGUACAGAGCCAAUCGGUCGGCCACGGUAAGGUCACACAAGGCACGCUUGUGGGUCUGAGGGACGUCGACAGGCUGGCCCGAGUACUGACCUGACGGGGGACCAGAGAGGCUUUACACACAAAUCCACCAGACACAAUGGUUACACGUCACAACAUGUGGACAGUGCAGCUGUUAUUGAAACCAAGUAUAUAGUGUAUUUUUACUCCUUACACAGCACAAAACAUCUCUCAAAAUUCACACAAAAUUGGAUUCUGAGAUUAUAUUUUGGGUGAAAAUGGCUCCAAUUGGAUUAUAUUACCAUUUAAACAAACAAAAAGAGAAAAAGAAACAGUACAGUUAUCGUUAAACAGGCAAACAGUUCAGUGUACCCUUGAUAGUUUCAUUUAGAUUUAGUUUCUAAGCUCCUUUUUUAACUCAGCUGUGCCUUUUAUCUGUUCUGUAUCUCCUCCUAAACUUUAACUGGAAUUAUUCAGAGGACUUCACAGAAGAGGACGUGACAUUCAUAUCUUCUACACUCAGUAUCUCUGAAACUAUUUUAAAAAGUACCACAUAAACAAAGUUUACUUUUAAACACACCAGUGUUAACUGACAAAUGUAUGAAGACUUUCCCCAACACGUAAAGGGAAAAAAGUGUGUGUGUAAGUUAGGGCUGCCCCCGAGUCAUCAGUCGAGAAGACCCUGAGCAUGUGGUCUGUCGAAUCAGAUUUACUGACAGCACUCUGAGUCGAGUUCAGCCCCAGUGUAAGUACUGUGUGUGUGUGUGUGUGUGUGUCCCAGCCCAGCCCUGUGGUUUGAAAGGAUAUGAUGUUAAAGGAUACUGCAACGUAAUCAGGCAAGCCUGAACCAGAGCAGCAGAACUUUCUAGAGCCCAGCUCCUAAUACUCACCCCUGUCGCUGCAAACAGAACACACAACACAGCGAUUACACACGUCAGCAGGAAAACCAGCAGGAAGAUGACUAAUAUAAAGAUAACUGAAUAAAUGGGACUGGUAUUUACUGGGUGAUUGUUAGUGGGGUUAGCACAAGAUAAUCCUCUAGUGACUUCUAGUGGUUUGUCAUUGCAUCUGGAGGGUGAAAUCUCACUGUGUGCCUCUGUUUCUAAUGAAAAGCGGUCCUGUCUCUGGUCAGGGAGGUACAUGUCUAACACAGCAGAGGAAACAGUUUCGGUGUGGACUGCUCCAAAUUAAGCUCACACCUUGCCAGAAGACUCCCUCCAUCCUCAUCAGCGGUGCAGCAGAUCUGGCCUGCAGGAUCACCUGGUGCUGGGUGGGUUUGUCUGCGUGGAGGAGAGGAGAGGACGACAACUGAACACCGGGACAGAAAUGUACGAAGUGUGUUUUCAAGUCAUGGUUGGUCCACACGAUUUCACCUCCGUUUCCUCUCAGGUGGUGUUUCAUCCCGUAAUAAAGACUGAGCAGAACUCUC